GCUACAGAAACUUUGUUAUUCCCAAAAAAGUUAUUUAAAAGCGCCGACAGCGCUUGUGAGAUUUGAAUUUUACCGUAAUUACCGUCAUAGUUGGUCACUACAACAUUUUAACAUGAAGCUGUAUCAGGCAUGGUGUCUUCCACGAUGACAAUGUCCCCAUCCACAAGAUAUGAGGGCUGACUGAAUGGUUUGAGAUUUUGGACUGAUGUGUUAGACAGCACUCUCUAGCACCAUCAUCAACACACCCACUGAGAAAAAUUGUUUUGGAAGAAUGGUGUUCAUCCCCCUGUACAGUUUCAGAGAGUUGUAAAAUCUAUGCCAAGGUCCAUUGAAACUCUUCUGCCGGCUCGAGAUAACAUUCUUUCCACUACCUCCCAGGCCAUGUGGCCAUGUGUGAGGUCUCUCUCUCACAGACACACACACACACACACACACACACACACACACACACACAAGUAGGUAUCAUCUGUAAGUGGUUUCAGCAACAUGAAUUUCAUGCAACUGCCAUAAAAUUCAAGAAUGUCUACCACUUAUAACUGUAGGAGUCAGAGUAAUGAAAUAAAUUCAUUUGAAAAUAAAUUAAUAUAAUAAAACAAUUUAUAAUUUAAUCAUAGUUUACAUACAUACAUACUCUAUUAAACAAAACAGAAUUGCAAUAUAUAAUUGCUGAAAAAUAUCCAUGAGAAAUGGCAGUCCACUCUGAUAGUUUUGAUUCCAGUGAUCGUUUGGUUCCAGAUCAAGCACAGUCUCCUCUGCAUGGACUGAACUGAGUGAAUCUUCUUAGCACCAUUCAGAAUGAUAGACUCAAGCAAAAAUCCCACCAUGGCAUUUGUUUUGCUAUAAGAAAAUAGAGAAAAAGUCUGGAUUCUAGCUAGAAUCUGAAACACACUCUCCCUGAAACUGGCUGGUGUGAUUCAGCUUGACAAUGCACAUUAUCUAAUCUAUAUUCUUUUAAUUUUGCCCUCUCCUUCCUGCAGAUUGGCAGAAAAUAUGAGAGAAAUCCUGAAAUGAAGUGACAGCAUUAUGACUUGGAAUAUGUAGAGAAUGCAUUAUUAUGUCUUAGUCAUCUAACAAACACACACAUACCCAACACCAAUCACUGUAGAAUCUGAUAGUUUAGUACAAGAUACUACAUUAUCUAAUAUAAUAUUUCUAUUCAGUUCAAAUGGAUAUGGUAACUGGAUGAUAUGUACUGAUAGAAAAGAAGAAAAUGUGUGUUUUAUUGGUGAAGGUAGAGGCCUGGUAUGGUCAGAGAUCCACCUGGCCAUCUGGAAUAAUGCUGAUGAUGAAUGACUUGGAAUGUUUUCUGCAGAAUCAGGAAUGUCAAGAAUGAUUAUAACAAGUGAAGAGGCCAGGCUCAGGUUUUACGAUGUACCCUCCUGCACACUGCACUACAGAGACUUCAGCCCCCAGUGCAUUAUUAUUACAGCUGGAUGGCAAACUCUUUAUUUAGAGAAGAGUUUCACUUGAAAAAAAAAAAAAACUUUUUCACAACCCAUUAAAGCAGUGCUUCACAAAUCAUAACUUACCUCACACACCUCAGGCAAUGCUUUAAAGGAAUAGUUCAGCUAAACAUAAAACUGUAUGUAGUCAUUCAGCCAGUAUAUGUUUAUUGUCUUAAAUUAUCUUUAGUUUCGCACUGUAGCUACAAGGCUAAUAUUGCUAACAAGUAAGGAAAGCUUAUAGCCACCAGUUUAGCAGGAUGUAAAUUGCAUGCCCAAAUCAUUGCACAUUUUCCUCAAACCUUGUAUUGCUGCUUGCUUGUAUAAGCUUUAAGCAGGAAUCACUUUCUUCAGUGUAGAGUUUGGUAUGACUCCAUGCAAACUCACACUCAGGGAGAAGAAGCCCAAAUUAUGACAGUGAUAGACGAUAGCCGGAUGAUAACAUUGUUUCAAUUAGAUUUUGUAUAUUAAUUAAAAUGCAGUUUGCACAAUGAUGGUAGCUAUAACUUUCUAUAUAAAUAUGUAUAAGUAAUAUUGUAAUAAAUCUUUGCCACAUGACAUAUAGGAUAUUGAUUUAUAAAUUAAAUUCUAUUAAGGAGCUCAUACUAUUUCUUUUCCUACACUUGGUCCUCUUUGAUCUUACUACAUUUAAUUGGUUGUAAAUCACUAAGUGAAGUGAGUGAAGAAACUUCAUUUAAAAGUGUUAA